rnacentral:rRNA from 1 species
AUCAAUAAGCGGAGGAAAAGAAACCAACAGGGAUUGCCUCAGUAACGGCGAGUGAAGCGGCAACAGCUCAAAUUUGAAAUCUGGCCCUCGGGUCCGAGUUGUAAUUUGCAGAGGAUGCUUUUGGCGCGGUGCCUUCCGAGUUCCCUGGAACGGGACGCCGGAGAGGGUGAGAGCCCCGUACGGUUGGACACCAAGCCUCUGUAAAGCUCCUUCGACGAGUCGAGUAGUUUGGGAAUGCUGCUCUAAAUGGGAGGUAAAUUUCUUCUAAAGCUAAAUAUUGGCCAGAGACCGAUAGCGCACAAGUAGAGUGAUCGAAAGAUGAAAAGCACUUUGAAAAGAGGGUUAAACAGUACGUGAAAUUGUUGAAAGGGAAGCGUUUGCGACCAGACCUUCUCCCGGCGGAUCAUCUGGCGUUCUCGCCAGUGCACUCCGCCGGGUCGAGGCCAGCAUCGGUUCCCGCGGGGGGAUAAAAGCGACAGGAACGUGGCUCCCCCGGGAGUGUUAUAGCCCGCCGCACAAUACCCCCACAGGGACCGAGGACCGCGCCUUUACGGGCAAGGAUGCUGGCGUAAUGGUCGUCAACGACCCGUCUUGAAACACGGACCAAGGAGUCGAACAUUUGUGCGAGUGUUUGGGUGUUAAACCCUCACGCGCAAUGAAGGUGAACGUAGGUGAGAGCCCUUGCGGGCGCAUCAUCGACCGAUCCUGAUGUCUUCGGAUGGAUUUGAGUAGGAGCAUAACUGUUCGGACCCGAAAGAUGGUGAACUAUGCGUGGAUAGGGUGAAGCCAGAGGAAACUCUGGUGGAGGCUCGCAGCGGUUCUGACGUGCAAAUCGAUCGUCAAAUCUGCGCAUGGGGGCGAAAGACUUAUCGAACCAUCUAGUAGCUGGUUACCG